GUGAAUCAUCAAAUCUUUGAACGCAAAUUGCACUCUCCGGUUUUCCGGGAGAGUAUGCCUGUUUGAGGGUCAGCCUAAAAAAAAUCGACAUUGUUGCUGUUAUUUAAUGGUGACUUUCGUCGGAGAUUGGGUUAUCUUAAACCUUUUUUUUUUUUUGGUUAAAGGGCUUUAAAUUUUUUUUUCCGGUUUCAUUAAAGGUUUCU
rnacentral:misc_RNA from 1 species